AGUGAACGCUGGCGGCAGGCCUAACACAUGCAAGUCGAACGGCAGCACAGGAGAGCUUGCUCUCUGGGUGGCGAGUGGCGGACGGGUGAGGAAUACAUCGGAAUCUACCUUGUCGUGGGGGAUAACGUAGGGAAACUUACGCUAAUACCGCGUACGACCUACGGGUGAAAGCAGGGGACCUUCGGGCCUUGCGCGAUUAGAUGAGCCGAUGUCCGAUUAGCUAGUUGGCGGGGUAAAGGCCCACCAAGGCGACGAUCGGUAGCUGGUCUGAGAGGCUGAUCAGCCACACUGGAACUGAGACACGGUCCAGACUCCUACGGGAGGCAGCAGUGGGGAAUAUUGGACAAUGGGCGCAAGCCUGAUCCAGCCAUGCCGCGUGGGUGAAGAAGGCCUUCGGGUUGUAAAGCCCUUUUGUUGGGAAAGAAAAGCAAUCGGUUAAUACCCGGUUGUUCUGACGGUACCCAAAGAAUAAGCACCGGCUAACUUCGUGCCAGCAGCCGCGGUAAGAC
rnacentral:rRNA from 1 species